UGAGUGCAGACGUCGCAUCGUCACUCGACAAAGAGUGGAAACUGAAAUACUGCCUUUUCCAUUGGCACGCGUCGGUCAGUUCCGAUCAGAAGAACCGGUGGCCCGGUGGAAAAACUGCCUAAAGCUAAAAGAGAAGCGAAGCAAAGCAGAGGAGAACUGAGAACAGAGGUGGAAGGUACGAAGAGGAGCCGCCUGGCGCGAGAACCGAAGAAACGUGUUUCCAGGGCUUUUUGUCUCGAUUUGAUAUCUCUCUUUUCGUCUCCGUCCUCCCUCACUCUCCCUUGACCAGUCGAUUGUUGUAUUUGAGAGGUUUUAGUUUUGAUUAGUUCAGUGGAUUUGAUUUGUGGUGGCGUGUAUCGGGGCCGGGGGGAGUGAUUUGGGGUUUCAGUUCUGGCUGAGUUUGGGUCGGUUGAGGUCCGAUUCGGGGUGACUCGGACGAAGAGGGUUAGGGUUAGAGUAAAGGAUCGAUUGAUGGAUUGGUGGCAGAAGAUGAUUUUCCCGAUGAGGAGAGUCUGGGUUGUUGUUGCUGCUCGAGUCAGGUCUCGGAAAAACGGAAGUGGGCUUUUAAAGCUGCAUGACGAUGUACAGACAUGCGGAUACGAAGAUGUGCAGGUGAUGUGGGAGAUGCUGAGGAGGUCGGAGUCGGAGCUGAUGGCUAACCCUCCCAAACGCAAGCAACGACCCCUUUGGAGGGUCUUCAUUUGGUCGAAUAACACAUCACCCUCUCCUUCACUAAACCGUGUCUGAACUCUGAAGAAACAUAUGAUCAACACGCACGAAUAUAUAUAAUAAUAUAAUAAUUAUAUAUAUCCCUAUAUACAACAUCUCAUCUCAAAUGAAUAAGUUCAGACCGCCCAAUCGUCCCAAUAACCAGAGUUUACGGAGACCUUUUUUUAGUGUGAAUGUUAUCUUGGACUAUUUGGGCAGCGCAGCCCGCUCAUGAGGCAGACCCCAUACUAUGGCGGUCUUAGAUUUUACUCUCUCUUUUAGAUAUGUAAGGAAUAAUAAUAUAUUUUCUAUGCACGUGUAAGGGAUAUAUAUAUAUCUAUUGGUUAAGCCCUUUAUGUCCCUCGUCAUUUUUU